GCCCCGUUAGCUCAGUUGGUAGAGCAGUCGCCUUUUAAGCGAACGGUCGCAGGUUCGAAUCCUGCACGGGGCACAA
rnacentral:tRNA from 1 species